GCCUGGAAGACCUUUGAGCAGGGCAUUUACAAGAUCAGAUCUCUGCUUGGGAGAUUUGUCUGGCAGUAUAGCUGAGAAUGGAGUAGAGAGAAAGAGGCUGGAGUCAAUAAAUCUAGUUGGGAAGCUAUUGCAAUAAUCUCAAAGAAGAAAGGAUGGCCUGGAAUUGAAUGGUAGCUGGGAUAAUGGAAUCUGGGAACUGAAGGCAAAAUCUACUUGGCAACCUGUGGGGCUAUCUCAAACUGAGUUGUUUUUUUUGUCCUUCCCUCCAUCCACCAAAAGAAGUUCAACCAGAUUCUAAAUCUAAUCGUACCUCAAAAGAAAUUUGCAGGAAGCUGCUUUGGAAAUGGCCUCGAGUAUUAGACUAAAUCCCUCCAAGGCUUCAAUCUGGGAAUGGAGGAAUGGAAUUAAAUCUGUGGAACUGUCCAGCAUGAGCAAGGGUGGGAAGAUUGCUGUUGAAAGAAGCGUGGAGGAGCCCCCACUCGGUUUCCUGAGAUUCUGAACCUACCUUCUCCCUUCUUCUGUAAACCACUUCUCCUCCAACAGGAGAGAGAGGGGCCCUGGCUGGUGAGUGAGAGGCCUUCAAGCGGGCCUUUGUGAACAGCUAGGUUGAGAGCUGAUUUUCCUGGCCCGAAACAGUUGUGAAUGUUACCUGAGGGGAGGCGUCGUUGUUUGAGCCGGGAGUCGGAGAGUCGGUUGAGUGAGGAUGAUGGAGCUUAUGAUUAGCCGGCUUUCUGCUAACUAGCGUCCGCUUCACUAGGGCAGUGGCAUUUGGUGAUUUCAAAGCGUCGGUUUCUCUGGUAAAAUCCUCAAUCCCAGCGGAGGAUGGCCAGUUCCCACCCAGCUGGUACGGACCUGGAUUGUCCUAAUUUUCAUUUUCCCCCCCUUAUAGUCUGUUAAAUUGACUAAUAAACUCAACACAGGGUUCUCUGUGCGGCUUCA
rnacentral:lncRNA from 1 species